CAGCCGCCACGGUAAUACGUAGGGUGCGAGCGUUAAUCGGAAUUACUGGGCGUAAAGCGUGCGCAGGCGGUUCGUUAAGACAGAUGUGAAAUACCCGGGCUUAACCUGGGAACUGCAUUUGUGACUGGCGAGCUAGAGUAUGGCAGAGGGGGGUAGAAUUCCACGUGUAGCAGUGAAAUGCGUAGAGAUGUGGAGGAAUACCGAUGGCGAAGGCAGCCCCCUGGGCCAAUACUGACGCUCAUGCACGAAAGCGUGGGGAGCAAACAGGAUUAGAUACCCGGGUAGUCCCUGUCUCUUAUAC
rnacentral:rRNA from 1 species